rnacentral:tRNA from 1 species
CUGCUUGAUCGACAAUCACAACAACAACACGUGCAGAUCCUGCUGAUUAUUUUGGUUUUAAAAAUGUCACUUUAACAGCGCAUAUUUCAGCUCAAUUGCAAACAAAACCGACACACAGUCCGAUAAAAUGCUGGAAACAAGUGUCACGCGACUCACCUAAGAAGUGCUGUGCUGUGGAUUGUAAAGCAGAGCUCUGGGACGUGUGGACCGACAGAGACUGACACACACUCCAGCAUUCACUCAUAUCACAGAGACCUGGCUGGGAUCAAACCAGCAACCUCUGAACCCGUGAGGCAGCGCUCUUACCUGUGAGCCACAGGUCUCUUGUGAGAGCACGUGAAGGAACUUAUUUUUGACUGUUGACUUGUGAGUUCCCAAUAAAGAAGUUAAAGUAAGCUGUGUACGUGAUAUAAUGAGGUGAGAUUUGAACCCAUGUUUCCAUCUCAGGUUUGUUCUCAGAGAUUCCCAUCGUGGAUUUCACUUCGUGUUUUAGUGACUUUGUUGGAUGAGAUUGAUUUACAGUAAGAAACAGUGGGAUUUGAACUCAGAUCUCCUGGAUUCAAACACAAAGCUUUAUCUCUCAAGCCACU